ACUCAAAUGAAUAGACGGGGACUUGCACAAGCAGUGGAUUAUGUGGUUUAAUUCGACGAUAAACGAAGAACCUUACCAAGGUUAGAAAUCCAGACGAAAGCCUCGAGAAACCGAGGCCCUCGCAAGACGGCUGGACAGGUGUUGCAUGGCCGUCGUCAGUUCGUGGUUUGAAUUGUUCCCUUAAGUGGGGUAACGAACGCAACCCUCGUCGUGUGUUACAAGUGUCACACGAGACUGCCUCCGCCCAAGUUUUUGAAUUCAAUUCGAAAAUUUCGGCGGGGGAGGAAGGAGAGGAUGACGCCAGGUCAGCAUGACCCUUGAUACCUUGGGCUACACACAUAAUACAAUCGCCACUACAACGGGCAGCGACGGGGUAACCCUGAGCGAAUCCUAAGAAAAGUGGCGUCAGUUCGGAUUGGGGGCUGCAACUCGACCCCAUGAAGCUGGAAUUGCUAGUAAUCGCGGGUCAGACAUACCGCGGUGAAUACGUUCUCAAGUCUUGUACACACCGCCCGU
rnacentral:rRNA from 1 species